GGAUUAGAUACCCUGGUAGUCCCAGCUGUAAACGGUGUGCACUUGGUGUGGGUGGAUUUGUCCCCAUCCGUGCCGGAGCUAACGCGUUAAGUGCACCGCCUGGGGAGUACGGCCGCAAGGCUAAAACUCAAAGGAAUUGACGGGGGCCCGCACAAGCGGUGGAGCAUGUGGCUUAAUUCGAUGCAACGCGAAGAACCUUACCUGGGCUUGACAUCCAGCUGCACGCCCUGUGAAAGCAGGGAAGCCUUCGAGGGUGCUGGACAGGUGCUGCAUGGCUGUCGUCAGCUCGUGCCG
rnacentral:rRNA from 1 species